rnacentral:rRNA from 1 species
GGGGCGCAGCAGGCGCGAAAACUCUACAAUGCAGGCAACUGCGAUAGGGGAACAUCGAGUGGCACCCACCAUGGGUGUCUGUCCAGCCGUCUAAAAAACGGCUGUUAGCAAGGGCCGGGCAAGACCGGUGCCAGCCGCCGCGGUAAUACCGGCGGCUCGAGUGGUGGCCGAUAUUAUUGAGUCUAAAGGGUCCGUAGCCGGCUUUGCAAGUCCCCUGGGAAAUCCAGCGGCUUAACCGUUGGGCUUUCAUGGGAUACUACAUUGCUUGGGACUGGGAGAGGUAGGAGGUACUCAGGGGGUAGGGGUGAAAUCCUGUAAUCCUCUGGGGACCACCGGUGGCGAAGGCGUCCUACCAGAACAGGUCCGACGGUGAGGGACGAAAGCUAGGGGCACGAACCGGAUUAGAUACCCGGGUAGUCCUAGCCGUAAACGAUGCUCGCUAGGUGUCACGGCAGUCGUGAAUUGUCGUGGUGCCGUAGGGAAGCCGUGAAGCGAGCCACUUGGGAAGUACGACCGCAAGGUUGAAACUUAAAGGAAUU